CAUGUGUGCAUCCCAGGUUUUAAUUUCUAUAUGUGUCUUCUGGGAAGGUUGUGGGGAGGGAGACGACGACAGUGAGCCAAUACCUGAGACUUGAAAGAGGAAGAAAGCUAUGUGGAGGGGAAGGAGGGGGGAGGGGAGACGAGAGAAGGAAAGAGAAUAAACAAAACGAUGUAUGGAACUCUUAGGGUGCCUAUUACCUUAUGUGCUAAUAUUAAAAAAAAAAUAAUGAAAAAUAAAACUUAAAAGACCCAAAAGCUGAAAUCUUAACUAAUUAAUAAUUUCUCCAUGACAAACGGGAAGCCUAGUGCUCUGGAAUCAGGGCUAGCUGGUCAUGGGUGAACACAUAUCUACUGGUAUGUGUACAGAUGCUUCUUGAGCUGUUUUGUCCUGGGCCACCUCUCCAGAACCCAGACACCUCCCACUCAUGUCCAGUGUCCUCAGAAUCUCCGCCUCUCUCACUUGGGAGCCGAGGGGCCCAGUUUGCUUUGUUGUUUUGUUUCUCUGGUCCCUGCUGGCUGAUCUGGUCACUGUUCUGGGAGGCAGGGGUUCCUGCCCAGGCAUAGUCUAACAACAGUGACACUCUAGGGCAAGUGCCUCUGGGCAGGUGGGAUGCUGUCAAGGUCAAGGCCAGUCAGCCUUUGGGCAGACUUGCUCCCUGAGCUCCUGGCCCACGACCGGGGAUGCCUGGGUCUUAGGCCUCCUCCUUUCUUCUGUCAUCCCAGGGCUGUGACUCUCCCCUCAGCACACACAGCAGCUUGUCAGAAGUUCAGAAGUAAGGUGGGCCAAAUAAACCGAGGAAGCCACGAGGAAGGGAGACACGUAAGUUUAGCUCCAAACUGCCGCCUUCCUUGCCUUUGGAGAAUCGUCUGUCCCUUUUCCAGUCUGCCCUUAAGAACACAUCUUACUUUCUGAUGAGGUGUGAGGGAACACAGACAGAAGGAGUCACCCACAUGCCCGUUUCCACUCUCUCCAUACUCCGUCUCCCCUUUAAUGGGCCCUGCUUCCGGCAGGCACUCUCAGGGUCAGUCCCAAGGUCCCAGCCACCCUGUGUCCUAUCUGUUCUCAGCUUGGGGACAGACAGGGUGGGCCAAUUGGCAGACAGCAAGGGAAUGGGCAAAGUGCCCAGUCCUCCAAGGGCCCCACUUAUCAGCCCUGAGUAGGGGCUGGGUCCUUCCGCUGCCUGUGUCUAAAGCACCAGUCCUAAUCAGCUGCCCCAGAACACUGCCGGACCAGCAUGGUGAGCUAGUUCGAGGUGGCCCUUGAAGCAGGAGGCUUCAGGACCAUGAGUCGCGUUUUCUUGCUUCAACUUUCCAAUUGCUGAAUAUUUUGAGAUUUUUUUUUCUGCCUGUAACAAAAAUAAGUGGUGUUCAACUGACCAACAGUUUCCUAGAACCAGCCAUUCUUGCAGCUGGCCGGCCCUCUCAGGGAUGAAGUGAGGGUCAAGGGGCAGAGGCUGCUGGCUGCACAUCGAGUGCUCGGCGAAGCAGAGUGAUCAGUCUAGGCCCACCAGCCCCAGAGCCCCACGACGAAAAUCCCGCGGUCCUAUUCCACCCUGCUGCGUCCGAAGGGGGCAGUGAGCAACCACGGGGCACCGUACCCACUAUGGGUUUACCCGCCCCCCGGAAGAGGUCCCGAAGCAGACUGUCUCCUAGUCGGUGGGCCACAGCAGUGUCGCCCGUGCCCGGCAGGGGGCGCCGGCAGCC
rnacentral:lncRNA from 1 species